UUAGAGAUCUUUAAAAAAAAAAAAGAAAAGAAAAGAAAAAGGGCUAAAUGGUUUGCACGUCACAAGUAGUGGCCUUCCACACAGAAUAAUGUUUGUUUUUAAGGGUCCUUAGCGGCUGUAGGUAGGAUGAUACUUAAGAUUUAUCUUUUUAAAUAAAGUAGCUACUGUGAAAAUAAUAUAACAAAAUUGAGGAUCAAGGUAAGUUGUAGUUUCCUAAUUAGUUAGUUGAGCGACCUAAGCAAUGCAGCUAUCCUCCAAGGAGCCUACUUCUUUACCUCUCCAUUUCCCAAAUGACCCUCUGAAUGUUGUCAUUUGUGGUAGAUUAUACUCCAAUGGGUGUGAAUGAUCUAAACAUCACUUUGGAUAAAGUUAUGCCAAUGAACCUUAUGUAGUAUGCCAUUUUGUUCAGAUAUUCUCACCCAUUUGGGUUCCCCAACUUUUGUCAAUUUUGAAUUUGUCAGAGCGAUGGGUUGUUUCUUUGGCUGCUUUCGAAUCAGAGACGAUCAUCGCCACCCCCAGACUCAUCUUGCCUUAGAACCACUCCCUUCAAAGCUCAGAAUCAGGAACCUGUGGUAUCUCGGAAUCCUCUAUCUUCUCUACCACUCGCUGAUGAUAAAGAUGGAUUCCCAUGUAAGGAUGAGGAAAAUCCUGCCUUGAAGACUCCAGAGCAUGGCAACAACAAUGGGGGGCUCAAGGAUGAGGGUAGGGUUUGGGUUGUGACACAUUUACAGACAUAUGCAGCUCCACAUCAACAUUUGUGGACAAGUUGAAGCUUUGACUUAGCUUCUUCAAGGUACACACCAAGCUUGUAAUCCUCGAGGAUCUCUGUAGUAAAGGAUCACUUGAUAGAUUGUGAAGUGCCGAGGGAAUCCUUCACCUUAGAGGCAAAGGUAGGUAAAGUGUGAGGAUGACAGUUGUUACAGCAAUGAGCAUGCUCUACUCUGACAGAAUCAAUAUCAAAUCUAUCCAUCAAUUUUUAUCCAUUUAAUUUUAAAACUAGUAGUUACUAUGUGGGACUGGUUUUGAUUUGAAAUAUCUUGUAAUCGUAUGACCUUUUAUUUAAAAAAAGAUAGUACUCAAUGUCCAAGGCUCUUGCUUACAGUAGGGUUUGGGAGAGGUAGUAAUAAUAGGCAACCGUUCUGCCACCUUUUUGUAAAGAGACACAAACCUUUGCGACAACGCUAGGAACCAAUAGCAUUUGUCAUCACUCUUGGGCAUGACCUAAAAAUCUUCUUUUUAUUUUUUCAUCCUUAGUAUAUUUCAAUUGAUGAUUAUUUGUUUUGCUUGUUCUCUCUCUUUCUCUCUCUCUCUCUCUAUAUAUAUGUAUAUUAUUUAUAAAU